rnacentral:miRNA from 1 species
UAUACAGUCUGGAGCACUUAAA